UACAGAGGGUGCAAGCGUUAAUCGGAAUUACUGGGCGUAAAGCGUGCGUAGACGGUUAUGUAAGUCGGGUGUGAAAGCCCCGGGCUCAACCUGGGAAUGCCAUUCGAGACUGCAUAGCUAGGGUGCGGAAGAGGGAAGCGGAAUUUCAGGUGUAGCGGUGAAAUGCGUAGAUAUGACAUAGAACACCAAUUGCGAAGGCAGCUCACUACACAAUCAUUGACGCUGAGGCACGGAAGCGUGGGGAUCAAACAGG
rnacentral:rRNA from 1 species